rnacentral:rRNA from 1 species
GACGAACGCUGGCGGCGUGCCUAAUACAUGCAAGUCGAGCGAGCUGAACCAACAGGUUCACUUCGGCGAUGACGUUGGGAACGCGAGCGGCGGAUGGGUGAGUAACACGUGGGGAACCUGCCCCAUAGUCUGGGAUACCACUUGGAAACAGGUGCUAAUACCGGAUAAGAAAGCAGAUCGCAUGAUCAGCUUAUAAAGGCGGCGUAAGCUGUCGCUAUGGGAUGGCCCCGCGGUGCAUUAGCUAGUUGGUAGGGUAACGGCCUACCAAGGCAAUGAUGCAUAGCCGAGUUGAGAGACUGAUCGGCCACAUUGGGACUGAGACACGGCCCAAACUCCUACGGGAGGCAGCAGUAGGAAAUCUUCCACAAUGGACGAAAGUCUGAUGGAGCAACGCCGCGUGAGUGAAGAAGGUUUUUCGGAUCGUAAAGCUCUGUUG